rnacentral:rRNA from 1 species
AGAGUUUGAUCAUGGCUCAGGAUGAACGCUGGCGGCGUGCCUAAUACAUGCAAGCCGAACGAAUAUCGAAAGAUGUGAGUGGCGACCGGGUGCGUAACACGUAGCUGACCUGCCCUCCAGCGGGGGAUAACACCUCGAAAGGGGUGCUAAUACCGCAUGAGUUCGGAGGAAUUAGAAACCUCUGAAGAAACUUCCGGGGCUGGAGGAGGGAGCUGCGGCCCAUCAAGUAGUUGGUAGGGUAGUGGCCUACCAAGCCGACGACGGGUAGGGGGCCUGAGAGGGUGGUCCCCCACACUGGGACUGACAGACGGCCCAGACUCCUACGGGAGGCAGCAGUAAGGGAUAUUGCGCAAUGGGCGAAAGCCUGACGCAGCAACGCCGCGUGGAGGAAGACGGCCUUCGGGUUGUAAACUCCUUUUGGUGAGGACGAGGAAGGACGGUACUCGCCGAAGAAGUCACGGCUAACUACGUGCCAGCAGCCGCGGUAAUAC